CGACCAGUAACGACCAGUAACGACCAGCGGCUCCUCCCAGUAUCCCCCAGUGUCCCCUCAGUGCCCCCCAGUGUCCCCCCAGUGCCCCCCAGUAUCCCCCAGUGUCCCCCAGUGCCCCCCAGUAUCCCCCAGUGUCCCCCAGUGCCCCACCAGUAUCCCCCAGUAUCCCCCAGUAUCCCCCAGUGCCCCCCCCAACUCUCCGGUCCCGGGCACUGGGAGCGACUGGGGACAAACUGGGAGGGACCGGGAACCACUGGGGGGACACCGGGCGGUGCCGGCGACUCCGAGGGGAACCGGGGAGCCCUGGGGUCGGUGCCGGGCUCCCGGGCCCCGGUACCGGUACCCGGUGCCAUUCCCGGUGCCAUUCCCGGUACCGGUACCCGGUGCCCAUUCCCGGUACCGAUUCCCGGUGCCCAGUGCCCAUUCCCGGUACCGGUACCCGGUGCCCAUUCCCGGUGCCCAGUGCCCAUUCCCGGUACCGGUACCCAGUGCCCAUUCCCGGUGCCAUUCUCGGUACCAGUACCGAUCCCCAGUCCCCAUUCCCGGUGCCCAUUCCCGCCGCCGCUCUCCCCGUUCCCGGCUCUCCGGUACCGAUUCUCGGUCCCCAUCCCCAUUCCCACUGCCGGUUCCCGGUACCGAUCCCCAUCCCCAUUCCCGGUGCCGGUUCCCGGUCCCCACCCCCAUUCCCGGUGCCCAUUCCCGGUCCCCAUCCCCAUUCCCGGUGCCCAUUCCCGCCGCUCUCCCCGUUCCCCGCUCCCCGGUGCGGUCCCGCCCCCCGCCCCGCCCCGCCCGGUCCCGCCCCUCUCCGCCGCCGCCGCCGCCGCCGCCGCCGCCCUUUGUCCGCGGCCCCGGGCCCGCCAUGGCGCCGCGGUGAUGCGCGGCGGGGCCGGCCCGGGGGCGGCGGGGCCGAGCGCGACCGGGAGCCCCAUGCGGGGGCCGCCGCCAUGGGGCAGGUCCUGGGCUUCGCCCACUGCAGUACGCACCGGGAACCGGGAACCGGCACCGGGAACCGGCACCGGGCAGCGGGGAGGGGCGGCGGCACCGGGAGGGGUCGGGGAUGGGGUAGCGGGUACCGGGCACCGGGAACGGGGCGCGGGGAGGGGCUGGGGGGGUGGGGGGGUUUGCGGGAUGCGGGAGGUAACGGGGGACCGGGAGUGGCCGGGGAUGGGGAACCGGGAGGCGGCACCGGGAAGCGGCAGCAGGGAACCGGGAGGGGCAGCCGGGGAUGGGGGCACCGGGGCGGACCGGGGCUGCGGGAACCGGGGGGAACCGGGCACGGAAGGGCAGGGAGUGGCCGCGGGCACCGGGAACCGGGAGGGGACGGGGAUGGGGGCACCGGGAACCGGGAUGGAUCCGGCACCGGGAACCGGGAGGGGACGGGGAUGGGGGCACCGGGAACCGGGAUGGAUCCGGCACCGGGAACCGGGAGGGGACAGGGAUGGGGGCACCGGGAACCGGGAUGAAUCCGGCACCGGGAACCGGGAGGGGACGGGGAUGGGGGCACCGGGAACCGGGAGGGGACGGGGAUGGCGCGGGAUGGAGGGAUCGGGGCAGCACCGGGAGGGGACCGGAGCUGCGGGAACCGGGAGGAACCGGGCACGGAAGGACCGGGAGUGGCCGGGAUGA
rnacentral:lncRNA from 1 species